CCCGUCCAACCCUGAGCUCCGGGAUCCGCCCCGCCGCGGAACCGAACCGCGCCGGGACCGAACCGAACCGCGUCGCACCGCGCCGGGACCGAACCGCCGCCGCCGCCGGGAGGAGCGGAGCGCGGAGCACCGCCCGGAGGUGGAGGAGCUGCAGAGCUGCCAGGAGGGACCCAGCAGCGCCGUACCCUGCCGAGACCUGAGAGCUCUUCAUGCAGACAGAAGGCCAGCAAGCGCGGCGACGCAGACCCACGUGUGCACGUGUACGUAUGUGCUGGUGUGCAAAUGUGUUUGCACUUGCGUGUGAGCGUGCGUGCAGAGAUCCGUGCAUCCGUGCGAGCGCGCAGAGCUGCGCCCGUAUCUGCACGCAGGUGUGUGUGUGCGCUCACGUGUGCAGGCGACUACACGUAUGUGUGUGGAUGUGCAAACGUGUUCGUGCACCUGCACACGCCCUGCACACGCGUGUACUGCAGAAAGCUGUGCUCGGCUCCACAGGACAACAUUUUAUGAGGAACUCCCACCCUCUCUCUGCCAGAUGCUGCACCUGGGGUAGGGGCAACAUGAGGGGCGUCCCUUGGAGCUGCU
rnacentral:lncRNA from 1 species